GGGGAUGUAGCUCAACUGGUAGAGCGUUAAUCUUUGCAUGAUGAAGGUACGUGGCUCAACUCCUUGCAUCUCCA
rnacentral:tRNA from 1 species